rnacentral:rRNA from 1 species
AUUGAACGCUGGCGGCAGGCCUAACACAUGCAAGUCGAACGAGUGGCGGACGGGUGAGUAAUGUCUGGGCAACUGCGUGAUGGAGGGGUCUAACUACUGGAAACGGUAGAUAAUACCGCAUAACAUCAGAUGUGCCCCGAUGGGAUUAGCUAGUUGGUGGGGUAACGGCGCACAAAGGCGACGAUCCCUAGCUGGUCUGAGAGGAUGACCAGCCACACUGGAACUGAGACACGGUCCAGACUCCUACGGGAGGCAGCAGUGGGGAAUAGUGCACAAUGGGCGCAAGCCUGAUGCAGCCAUGCCGCGUGUAUGAAGAAGGCCUUCGGGUUGUAAAGUACUGUCAGCGGAGAGGCGUUACCCGCAGAAAAAGCACCGGCUAACUCCGUGCCAGCAGCCGCGGUAAUAC